ensembl:snRNA U6 U6 spliceosomal RNA
GUGCUCACUUGGGCAGCACGUGUACUAAAAUUGGAACGAUGCAGACAUUAGCACGGCCCCUGCACAAGGAUGACAGGCGAAUUCAUGAAGCCAUCAGGCACAAG